GCGGGAAUAGCUCAGUUGGUAGAGCAUAACCUUGCCAAGGUUGGGGUCGCGAGUUCGAGUCUCGUUUCC
rnacentral:tRNA from 60 species